UUUUUUUUUUUCUUUUUUAUUUUUUUUUUUAAUUUUUUUUUAUUCACAUUUCUUCAUACAGUACUUUUUAAAAUGUACACUCAAGGAUCCAGGCUUUAUAAAAUUGAUAUAUUUAUGGCAUUCUUUGUUGUUGUUGCCGUGAGUGUGAAGAAUACAGUGGCUAUGCAUUUACGAUGGGGCCAAUGCCUUGGUGUAUGCCAAGGUUCCAAUGGCUUUACCAUUGCUUUUACACCACGUUUUACCACCACUGCUUCUAUACCACGAGUCCAAAUAUCAACACUGCGAAAAGGACAUAAACCAGGGCAGCUCUGAAAGUAUUAUCAUGAAAAUAGUUUUGAUCCCAACGAUCCCCUGAAAGGGUCAAGGGCACCCCCAGGACCAUACUUUGGGAACCCCUGAUUCAGAAUGAGUUCUAAAGCCUCUAACCUAGCAAGCAUGCUUCUGCAGAGCGCCACUAAUGCAGCCCUUGGUUCUAUCCAAGGCUGUUCUCUGCCCGCUGAUCUGGCUGAGCUAGAGCUCACUGCUGUGCCCUGGCUCAUGCACACCUUCUGCCUGAACACUGGCCUCCCUCCCUGCCCCGCAUCACAAUCCCACCUGCUAGCAGCUGCCCCAGCCAACAGGGCAUUACUGCCCCGGAUGACUCCACAGCGCCCAUCUGGCUGCCCUGCCACGGGACCCCGGGAUGUCCGCACUCGCUCAGAUCUGUCUGUCUCGCUCCUCCUGCUCACCGGACAAGCCCCUGGAUGGGGGUGGGGUGGGGGGAGGGCAGGGGCCAUGCCCAGCACGGAGUCUGGUAGCACGUCCAGUGUUUACCACUGAUCAGCUGAGGAGGAAGGAACUGGGAAUUCCGUGGGGCAGGGACCAGUUAAGGGAAGGGGAGGGCUUCCUCCACCUCAGGUACCGCACCCGAGGGCUGACCACAAGGGCCGCCUACUUCUCUGCGCUGGGCCCAGGGGGGUGGUGGCAGCCUUUGUCCUUAGCAGCUGCCACCCUCUCCUCUCCAGAGGACCCAGGCGGUGACAGCCGGGGCUCCUCUCCCGAAGGGGUGCCACUGCCCCCUCCACGCUCCCCAACAUGAGACCUGGGCCACAGGGAUUGGUGCCCGCAAUCACCAGUCUCUCUCUCUCCUUCCACCCUGAGUCCCCGUCUUAGGGCCUGGCUCCCGGGAGGCCCUGGACAAAUGUCUGUGGAAUUAACGUCUGACUCAUUCCUUCGGAGCCGCCCCUCCAAGCCAUCCUCCCGCUGUCCCCAGACUUCACCUUCAAGCACCCACCUAUCUUUCAGUGGCUCUCUACUGCCAGGGAACAGAAAGCAGACGUGGGUCUGGCUGUCAACAGGCUUCUCAGCCUCCUCUCCCAUUUCUCCUUCAUACUUUUUACUUCACAAAUACACACCUCACUAUGUACCAGA